GAUGAACGCUAGCGGCAGGCUUAAUACAUGCAAGUCAAGGGGGUAGCAAUACAACCGGCGCACGGGUGAGUAACGCGUACACAACAUACCAUAUACUGGGGUAUAGCUUCGGGAAACUGAAGGUAAUCCCCAUAAUAUUGCGGGAAGGGCAUCUUUCUUGCAAUUAAAGUUUACGACGGUAUAUGAUUGGUGUGCGUUGUAUUAGCUAGUUGGUAGGGUAACGGCCUACCAAGGCGACGAUCAAUAGCUGGCGUGAGAGCGCGACCAGCCACACUGGAACUGAGACACGGUCCAGACUCCUACGGGAGGCAGCAGUAGGGAAUAUUGGACAAUGGGCGGAAAG
rnacentral:rRNA from 1 species